rnacentral:rRNA from 1 species
UAAAGAAAGCGUAAUAGCUCACUGGUCUAGUGAUUCUGCGCGGAAAAUAUAACGGGGCUAAAAUGAGUACCGAAGCUUUAGACUUAGUUUUUAACUAAGUGGUAGGAGAGCGUUCUAUUCAGCGUUGAAGGUAUACCGGUAAGGAGUGCUGGAGCGGAUAGAAGUGAGCAUGCAGGCAUGAGUAGCGAUAAUUGAUGUGAGAAUCAUCAACGCCGAAAACCCAAGGUUUCCUACGCGAUGCUCGUCAUCGUAGGGUUAGUCGGGUCCUAAGCAAAGUCCGAAAGGGGUAUGCGAUGGAAAAUUGGUUAAUAUUCCAAUACCAAUUAUUAUGUGCGAUGGAAGGACGCUUAAAGUUAGUGGAGCUAGCGGAUGGAAGUGCUAGUCUAAGGGUGUAGGUUGAGUUAUAGGCAAAUCCGUAACUCUUUAUCCGAGACCUAAAAGGCUCAUGACGCUCUUCGGAGUAGAUUGAGAAUCCAUGAUACUAUCGAGCCAAGAAAAGUUUCUAAGUUUAGUAAUAAUUGCCCGUACCGUAAACCGACACAGGUGGGUGGGAUGAGUAUUCUAAGGCGCGUGGAAGAACUCUCUUUAAGGAACUCUGCAAAAUAGCACCGUAUCUUCGGUAUAAGGUGUGCCUAACUUUGUAUUAAGAUUCACUCCCAAAGCAAAGAAGGUUACAACAAAGAGUCCCUCCCGACUGUUUACCAUAAACACAGCACUCUGCUAACACGUAAGUGGAUGUAUAGGGUGUGACGCCUGCCCGGUGCUCGAAGGUUAAUUGAUGAUGUUAGCUAUGCGAAGCAUUUGAUCGAAGCCCGAGUAAACGGCGGCCGUAACUAUAACGGUCCUAAGGUAGCGAAAUUCCUUGUCGGUUAAAUACCGACCUGCAUGAAUGGCGUAACGAGAUGGGAGCUGUCUCAAAGAGGGAUCCAGUGAAAUUGUAGUGGAGGUGAAAAUUCCUCCUACCCGCGGCAAGACGGAAAGACCCCGUGGACCUUUACUACAGCUUGACACUGCUACUUGGAUAAAGAUGCGCAGGAUAGGUGGGAGGCUUUGAUCCAUAGACCCUGGUUUAUGGUGAGCCAUUGUUGAGAUACCACUCUUCUUUAUUCGGGUAGCUAACUAGCCUAAGUUAUCCUUAGGUAGGACAAUGUCUGGUGGGUAGUUUGACUGGGGCGGUCGCCUCCCAAAAUGUAACGGAGGCUUACAAAGGUUGGCUCAGAACGGUUGGAAAUCGUUCGUAGAGUAUAAAGGCAUAAGCCAGCUUAACUGCGAGACAUACACGUCAAGCAGAGACGAAAGUCGGUCUUAGUGAUCCGGUGGUUCUGUGUGGAAGGGCCAUCGCUCAAAGGAUAAAAGGUACCCCGGGGAUAACAGGCUGAUCUCCCCCAAGAGCUCACAUCGACGGGGAGGUUUGGCACCUCGAUGUCGGCUCAUCGCAUCCUGGGGCUGGAGCAGGUCCCAAGGGUAUGGCUGUUCGCCAUUUAAAGCGGUACGCGAGCUGGGUUCAGAACGUCGUGAGACAGUUCGGUCCCUAUCUGCCGUGGGCGUAAGAAGAUUGAGGAGAGUUGACCCUAGUACGAGAGGACCGGGUCGAACUAGCCACUGGUGUACCAGUUGUUCUGCCAAGAGCAUCGCUGGGUAGCUAAGCUAGGAUGAGAUAAGAGCUGAAAGCAUCUAAGCUCGAAGCCAACUCCAAGAUGAAUCUUCUUUUAAGAGCUCUAGUAGACUACUAGUUUGAUAGGCUGGGUGUGUAAUGGAUGAAAGUCCUUUAGCUGACCAGUACUAAUAGCUCGUUUGCUUAUCUUUAUAUAAGCAUCACUUC